GCGCGGGUGGUGGAAUGGCAUACACGUACGUUUGAGGGGCGUAUGCUUUCGGGCGUGUGGGUUCGAGUCCCACCCCGCGCACCA
rnacentral:tRNA from 1 species